UACGGGGGGAGCAAGCGUUGUUCGGAUUUACUGGGCGUAAAGGGCGCGUAGGCGGCCACGCCACGUCAGUUGUGAAAUCUCUGGGCUUAACUCAGAACGGUCAACUGAUACUGUCGGGCUAGAGUGCAGAAGGGGCAACUGGAAUUCUCGGUGUAGCGGUGAAAUGCGUAGAUAUCGAGAGGAACACCUGCGGCGAAGGCGGGUUGCUGGGCUGACACUGACGCUGAGGCGCGAAAGCUAGGGGAGCAAACGGG
rnacentral:rRNA from 1 species